CUGGCUCAGGACGAACGCUGGCGGCGUGCCUAACACAUGCAAGUCGAGCGGGUAACGGAGGUCGGUCAUCGGAGGUCAGAAGUCAG
rnacentral:rRNA from 1 species